rnacentral:misc_RNA from 1 species
AGUGGUGUUUGGUUUGUUACGGGUGGUUGGCUCUUUGCUUGCGCAACAACUUCCACCUGACAUUCCUCUUCAUUUUUGUUUCAAUGCAAGGUUUGUGUUGAAUGCAAAGUGGGUUUCCUGUGCUCUAUGCCUAAUUGAUGGUAUCGUUUGACCAAUCGAUGUCUAUUUUCGUCUAGUGUCGCAAUUGCGGUGCAAGAUGAUCCUUUAAGCAGCCUUUUUGAUCCACUGUUUUGAUGCUUAUGCAUUGAUAUUGUGGCUCAUUGAGUGCUUGCAUGGUCUCAUGGAUAUGGAAACUAUGUGGGCAUGUGAUCUUUUAGUAGUUCCUUGUUUGCCCUCGGCUAAGCUUUUCAAAUACGAUUUCCUAUCAUGUUCUCUUAUGUGGUAGGCUAGAUCGAAUACGAACG